AUGCACUCUGUGGGGUGAAACAGCCUCUGUCUCAGGUUGGGAGUUGCUGCCAUGGAGACCACAAGAGUGGAGAUUUUCUGACACACAGAAAGGAAUGGAUUACAGCUCCUUCUUAUGUAAAUUUCCAUGGAGGGGAAAAAAGAUUAAAAGGAAAAUAAUUCUGCUUUAGUCGUUUUCCUUUAAGGUGAUAAGAUCCUUUGAUUCCAUCGUGGAGAAGAAGGCAACAGCUGUUUGUCACAAAUGUGGGAAGCUGCUUCUUGGGCAGGGUGGAUUUCCAUCUGCGUCUCCUUUUCGGUGUUGAAAGCUGAUGGGAAAUGUGCCAACGUCACAACAAGGUUUGAGGGAGGCACAUCUCAUGCUCGGACAUGAACACCCGAUCAUCAUGCUUAUGAACUACAAAAGGAUCUCCAGUAUGGGCUCACGGCAGUUGGCCCUUGAAUAACAUGAAUUUGAACUGCCUGAGUCUGCUAAUAUGUGGAUUAUCUUCUGCUUCUGCACCCUGAGACAGCAAGACCAACCCUUCCUCUUGCUUCUUUUCCUUAGCCUAUUCAACGUGAAGAUGACUAAGGUCUGUUCCACAUUAUCUUCACUCUAGGACCCAAGCUGAUAAAGCAGCUCCCUCUGGAGCUAUUGAUGGUCUCAUGGAAGAGACAAAAAAAGAUCACAGUGAAUCACAUUCUGCUUCUGAACUCUUCUGCCUGGAAGUGACAAACAUCAUUUCCAUCACAUUUCACUGACCAAAGCAAGUCAUGAGU
rnacentral:lncRNA from 10 species